UGUGGAGAGGAUGUGAUGGAGCACCACUGAAGAGCUGAGGGCCAGGCCAUGUAGCAUUCUGUGUCCUCGGCGCCUGAUGCUAUCGCUCAUCCUGGAGUUGCCGGGAUGACGGGCUAAGGAAAACUAGAAGAUGAACCAAUUUCCUGAAUGUUUAUGUGAAGCCCUUGGUGCUGAGACAGCAACAGCAACUCUUUCUGAUGAGUAGAUCAAGGACGUCCACUGUCACCUCAUCCUGGGGUCAGUAGAUCGAGGUUGUCCACUGUCACCUCUGUCCUCAUUAUCUCCAAAAUCCUAAAACUUUCGAAGAGCCCAAGGAAAGGCUUACAAACUGGGAAGAAAGACAUGAAAUCGAUCAUUUUUAUUCUCAGAAGAUAUGGUUGCAAACACAGCAAAUCCUGAAGGUUCUAGAAACUAGUGAGUAACUGUAGCAAUAUCUUCUCCAAGCAGGUCAGUAUUCAAGAGCCGAUGAUAGUUUUAUGUACUGGUAACAGAGGAUUAGAAAUUGGAAUGCUUAAAUACUACUUACUAGGACUGUGGAGAUGGCUCAGCCUGUACAGUGUUUGCCCUGAAAUCACAAGGGCCCUGGUUCGAUCCUCAAAAACUAUAUUAUCAUCAUCAACAACAACAACAACAACAACAACGCCGGGCAGGAGAAAUGCACUUGUGAGCCACGUGUUGAGUGAGAAGGAGAGACAGGCACCUACCCCAGCCUAGUGGAUGAGCUCCAGGCCAGUGAAAGGCUGGGUCAUGAAGGAGUGACAGCUGAAGAUGUCCCUUGGCCUCCAAAAGAGAAAUAUGCUGACUCCCUUGUCCUUUGGGAAGCAUCCCUGGAGAGCAUUCUGUGACCGAGUUCUACUUACUGGC
rnacentral:sRNA from 1 species